CAUGAGGUCAGAGGAUACACGAUUCAUAGCCAUCCAACUCUGUUGGAAAGCAACGCCCCUCAAGUAUCAGAGCAACCUGAAGAUAAUAGGAAAUAAUCAAAUAUCCAGGCAAGGUGGAUAAGUUCGGACGCGGUACGCCGUCCAGCUCAAAGACAAGGUGAGAUGAGAUACCUAGGUCGGCAUGGUCGGCAUUAGUCCGUCUGAUUGUCGAGAGAAUGACUGAUCAAGCACCGCUAGUAAGACCGUCAAUGGGUUCGCUAGUCGGAGUAACAAAACUGAAAGGAGCUCGACAUAUCCAACGACCCCGACAUUAGAUUACUCGUUGAGGUCGGAUCCAUGCUCGAGCUUAGAUAUGUGAUCGAGGUCGGAUCCGUGUUUGAAGAGUUACCUUUCUUCCUGGGUUUUGGCUUCUAGAACCAGUGUUCUGCAGAGAAAUAUUUCUGGGUUGGUUGGUCGGAAUAACAAGACAGAAGGAACUCGGCAAAUCCGACGACCACAGCGUUAGAUUACUUGUUGAGGUCGGAUCCGUGCUCGAGC
rnacentral:lncRNA from 1 species